CUGAUCGUUUCAGCCUUGAUGAUUCCCUCUCGUCGAAUGCCUAAGAUUGCGUUGUCUAACAUUGGGUGUGAUUUGAGGAAGAUUUGAUAGUUGUUUCGAAAAGGUGGGCAACCACAUAGAAAUUCCCUCGUUAGUUCAUCUUCUGUGGUAAAAGAGGCCAAAGAGA